rnacentral:rRNA from 1 species
AAGUCCCGCAACGAGCGCAACCCUUGAUCUUAGUUGCCAUCAUUAAGUUGGGCACUCUAAGGUGACUGCCGGUGACAAACCGGAGGAAGGUGGGGAUGACGUCAAAUCAUCAUGCCCCUUAUGACCUGGGCUACACACGUGCUACAAUGGACGGUACAAAGAGUCGCAAGACCGCGAGGUGGAGCUAAUCUCAUAAAACCGUUCUCAGUUCGGAUUGUAGGCUGCAACUCGCCUACAUGAA